AGUGAGCGCUGGCGGUAGGCCUAACACAUGCAAGUCGAACGGCAGCACAGUAAGAGCUUGCUCUUACGGGUGGCGAGUGGCGGACGGGUGAGGAAUACAUCGGAAUCUACUUUUUCGUGGGGGAUAACGUAGGGAAACUUACGCUAAUACCGCAUACGACCUACGGGUGAAAGCAGGGGAUCUUCGGACCUUGCGCGAUUGAAUGAGCCGAUGUCGGAUUAGCUAGUUGGCGGGGUAAAGGCCCACCAAGGCGACGAUCCGUAGCUGGUCUGAGAGGAUGAUACGCCACACUGGAACUGAGACACGGUCCAGACUCCUACGGGAGGCAGCAGUGGGGAAUAUUGGACAAUGGGCGCAAGCCUGAUCCAGCCAUACCGCGUGGGUGAAGAAGGCCUUCGGGUUGUAAAGCCCUUUUGUUGGGAAAGAAAAGCAGCAGGUUAAUACCCCGCUGUUCUGACGGUACCCAAAGAAUAAGCACCGGCUAACUUCGUG
rnacentral:rRNA from 1 species